rnacentral:rRNA from 1 species
UAAUACGGAGGGUGCAAGCGUUGUUCGGAAUUAUUGGGCGUAAAGCGCGUGUAGGCGGUCUUUUAAGUCUGAUGUGAAAGCCCCGGGCUCAACCUGGGAAGUGCAUUGGAAACUGGGAGGCUUGAGUACGGGAGAGGAGAGUGGAAUUCCUAUGUGUAGGAGUGUAAAUCCGUAGAUAUUAGGAGGAACACCGGUGGCGAAGGCGGCUCUCUGGACCGAUACUGACGCUGAGACGCGAAAGCGUGGGUAGCGAAACAGGAUUAGAUACCCUGGUAGUCCACGCCGUAAACGAUGAGUACUAGGUGUUGCGGGUAUUGACCCCUGCAGUGCCGUAGCUAACGCAUUAAGUACUCCGCCUGGG